rnacentral:rRNA from 1 species
AUGGGCUCAGAUCUGAGCUCGAAAAGGGACCGGCCGUUGCGUUGCAAGGUUGAAGCCGCUGAAAUGGCUAAUGCGGCGCUGGCUUCUCUGUUCUGGGCGCCGAGGCAUGUGUCCGGGUCAGCCGUUGCUUCCGCUGAAGCUCUGCCACUGACCUAUGGGCCGGCCCUUGUUGAGGUCUACCUCUGCUUCCUGCUCCUCCUCUUCCUCGUCGUCGCACCUUUGCCAUGGCCUUGCCUCCUCUUUCGGUUUGCCCAGACACGCCCCAGUGCCGACUUUGGAGCCCGCUGCAUUAGCCUAUGA